rnacentral:rRNA from 1 species
UACGUAGGCAGCAAGCGUUGUUCGGAGUUACUGGGCGUAAAGGGUGUGUAGGCGGUUCUUUAAGUUUGGUGUGAAAUCUCCCGGCUCAACCGGGAGGUGCGCCGAAUACUGAGGAGCUAGAGUGCGGGGAGAGGAAAGUGGAAUUCCUGGUGUAGCGGUGAAAUGCGUAGAUAUCAGGAGGAACACCGGUGGUGUAGACGGCUUUCUGGACCGUGAACUGACGCUGAGACACGAAAGCGUGGGUAGCAAACAGG